GUCCCGGGGUUCUGGAACUAUGACGGUGAGGUCAUUCAUUCAGUGUUGUCCCGGGGUUCUGGAACUAUGACGGUGAGGUCAUUCAUUCAGUGUUGUCCCGGGGUUCUGGAACUAUGACGGUGAGGUCAUUCAUUCAGUGUUGUCCCGGGGUUCUGGAACUAUGACGGUGAGGUCAUUCAUUCGGUGUUGUCCCGGGGUUCUGGAACUAUGACAGUGAGGUCAUUCAUUCUGUGUUGUUCCGGGGUUCUGGAACUAUGACAGUGAGGUCAUUCAUUCAGUGUUGUCCCGGGGUUCUGGAACUAUGACAGUGAGGACAUUCAUUCGGUGUUGUCCCGGGGUUCUGGAACUAUGACAGUGAGGUCAUUCAUUCGGUGUUGUCCCGGGGUUCUGGAACUAUGACG
ensembl:lncRNA